rnacentral:rRNA from 1 species
UGAGGAUCACGUGGGAACAUGCCUCCUUGUGGGGGACAACAGCGCGAAAGCGGUGCUAAUCCCGCAUACGCUCGUGUGAACGAGGAAAGCGGCAACGCGCAGGGAGAGUGGCCCGCGGCCCAUCAGGUGGUUGGUGGGGUAACGGCCUACCAAGCCAAUGACGGGUAGCUGGUCUGUGAGGACAGACAGCCAGACUGGGACUGAGACACGGCCCAGACUCCUACGGGAGGCAGCAGCAAGAAAUUUUCGUCAAUGGGCGCAAGCCUGAACGAGCAACGCCGCGUGGAGGAUGACGGCCUUCGGGUUGUAAACUCCUUUUGGGGGGGACGAUAAUGACGGUACCCCUUGAAUAAGGCUCGGUAACUCUGUGCCAGCCGCCGCGG